rnacentral:rRNA from 1 species
GUACACACCGCCCGUCGCACCUACCGAUUGAAUGGUCCGGUGAAAUCUUUGGACUGUGACUUUGCCUUGUUCAUUCAAGGCGCUGUCAUGGGAAGUUGAUUAAACCUUACCAUUUAGAGGAAGGUGAAGUCGUAACAAGGUUUCCGUAGG